AGGUGUGGAGGAACAAGCUGGGCUGGGUUUAUAAAGGCAGGAAGCUGCUAGGAUAGGGAACUGCAGGGAAGUAGUCUGAAGUCACUCCCUGGCUGAAGGGAAGUAUGUUUGGGACUAUAGAGUUUAGUCUAUAGUUACUCCCUGGGAGGAGGGAGUUUGGGGGUGGGAGAGCUAGAAAGGUAGGAAAGGCUCAGGGGAAGAACAGCAAGGUAUAGGAUAGUGUAGACCUUGGCCACUGAACAGAGGGUCCCUGAGCUGGAACCUGCAGUAGAGGGCAGCCCAGGUUCCCUGCCAGCCACUGGGAAAGUGGCACUUACUGGACAGCAAAUGGGAAGACUGCCUGAGCCCAUUUGUGAGGAAAGACUCUGAUACCCUGGAAGGGGAAAACAUGUACAGUGACCUGGCUGGAGGGCCAAGUCAUGAAGAGGAAGCUGCAGCUCCUGGAGCAAGAGGGGCUGCAGGGUGACAGAGAAUGCUGGGUGGAGAGACUGUCAGAGGAGGGUGCAGCACCUGGAAGGAGCUAAUCCCCAGAAUACCCAGAAGCAGGCGCCUAGCAGUGAGUGGACCCUGUGACAUUCUGAUUCACAGGUUGUCUCACUGGAGAGCCUAAUUUUAGUUCACCUGUGAAUUCAUUCUAGAGGUACAAUGCGGGAGUCAUUAGAAUUCAAUUGACCCCUAUGAAGAUGGAAACAACUGAAUUACAAGGACUUGGCUGAGGUUCUUCAAAGCUUUCUCCAACUUCUAUACCUUUGAAUAAAGGUGGAUCUCCAGGAAGGGAUGCUAGGAGGGGAAAUGGGAGAGAGUGGAAAACACCCAGGACAAAGAUACCAGGUGUUGAUACUAGCCUUUAAAAACCACAAAAUAGAGGGAAGGCUUAUAGAGCAACAUGGGAUGUUUUGAGCCAAAGAAAGGAAGAGAUGACCAAAUGUAGCAGGCAGGUUAGCUGCAGGACCAACCAAGGCCAAAGUAGGCUGACCUGGGGAGAGAAGUAGAGAAGACAUUGAGAAGAAAAGCCAUGUGUGCUGCAGGAGAAGGACUCUGGCUGCUUCAGAGGACUCUGCUUCCAACCCAAACAAUGCUCUGGAGUGGUGAGGAAAUUGAGACAGGGAUGAUUAUUUUUGUCUAGAUCUGUGUGUUCCUCGUGAUUAAUCCAAUGGUGGUUUAGAAUCCUGCACAAAGUCUGUGGGUAUGUGGGCUGUGUUACAAUCAGAUGUCCUUGAAAAGUUUAACCUGUGAUCCCAGAGCACCCACAUGGCUGGAGUUCUAGGACAGGGUGUGUUUAAGCUAUGGGGGACGGGAUCAGCACUGGUCCUGGCAUAGGCAGUUGGACUGGGAGGGCUCAGGGCUCAAAGAGGAUGUUUGACAGAGGAGCUGCAACCCAAGAAUGUGCCUGGACUCCGUUCAGACUGUGGAGGCUUAAAGCACACAGGGAUUCAGUGUUUUCCAUCCCCUCACAGCAGUCUGGUGAGUGCCUGAGAGGAGGUGUUUGACUAGACUCUGUCUUAGCACCCCUACAGGGUCCAUGACACUGACAACAUGACUAGCACCAACCUACUACACCAGCCACCUCCACAUACCUCCUCAGCUGUGUGUGUAGAAGCCACAAAGGUGGAAAUACUGGCGAUGAAAGCAGCAGUAACUUAUGCUGCCUAAUGCAUCCUAAGUCCCAUCAUGCUGAAUGGAUAACACAUAGCAGUGAGGGGCUGUUCCUCAAUUCUUCCUCUCUGCCCACUGUUCUCACUGAGCUACGUUUGUGCAAUUAAAUCAUAAAGAACAGUUAAGUGGCUACACAGUGUGGGGAUAUGUUACCGCAAUUCUGCUGGAAUGACUUUGAUCCCUUAUGCAUCACAAAAGGAAGUAUCUAGACCUAUGAAUAAAACUGAGCACCAGGAGGCAUUUUUAGUCUAUCACUUCUUUGUGUUUCAUAGAAAAGGUGAAUAAUUAAAACUAGCUAGAGAAAGGCCCUUGGAAAUAUACCUUUUAUGGAGUGUAGAAGAGUUUGAAAUAAAUUAUCCACUGACUGAGCAAGAGUUAAGAGAGUUUUUGGCAAGAAGCCUUCUACAAGAGGAAAUUUAAAUUAAAAAGCUUUUCAGUCUCACUCUCCACUUUAAAGUAGAGGUUCCCUUCACAAUUGAUAUGGAUGUGAAUUUUAGCAGUGUUUGGCAAACUGAAUCUAAUCAAAUUUAGUCCAAUAAGCCAAACGAAAAUACUGUACAUUUUAUGUCUUCCAGAAUAAUCAGAUAAGACUCAGAAAUUCUUAUGCAGUAAUUAUUACAAAUUGUGUCUGCCUCUUAGGGAAUAAAAGGUGAUUUUGAUCAUUUUGCAAGAUCAUUUUGCAUGACCUUGCAGGCAUAUAGAGAUUUCCUGUGCGUUUGCUAAACUCCUCUUGCAUAGUUCUCUUCAGACAUUCAUUUCCCUUAUUUCAAGUCAGUUUUACUUGAGUGUUCAAAGAAGACUUCACCUGCAUUUUUGUGCAUUCUGUCUGUUUAAAGAAUUCCACUUGUCUCCACAUAUCUUGUUUACAUUAUUUAGAAACAAAUAGACAUUCCACUGUGCUUCAUAAUGGAUUUGCUUGAAACUUGGCAGAAAAUAAAUUGUAAGUACUCGAUUGCUAGUAAUCAUUUUGGAAAAUAUUAGUGAGAGCCAAGUUUUCUCAGAACUUGAACUAACAAUAUCAGAAAUACUGCUGACAUUGAAAUACUAAAGACAGAAUUAUUCUUAGACAAACAAGUACUACUUUGAUCUUCCUUAUUUUGGCAGUAGAUGCCUCAAAUAUCUAAAUUUAAUCUCUUUCUCACUGUACCCAUGCAGCAUAAGAUGAAAGUAAAAGGACCCUUUAUCUCCUGAGGAUGGUGGCUGGUUGAUGAGAGACCGGGGAGUUUCAUAUUUACUGUGAUAUAACCUAGUCUCCUUCUUCACAAAACAGUCAGAUUACUCUAAUCCAGUGGCUCUCAAUUUAUUACAUAUUGUGGGCCACAUGUGCGGCCCACAAUGUGUUACCUGGGCCAUAGGGGCCGGGUGGCGGGGCAGCGGCAGCCCAGACCUCGACCCCAAUCCUGGACCCUGGACCCCAUGCCACGCAGGGUGGGCUGGCAGCUCUGACCCUGACUCCGUCUCACUCAGUGGCAGGGCAGCCCAGACCCCUAUGCGCCUGGUAGCCAGGAACCUGGCGGACCCUGGCAUGCCGGCCAGCCUUUAUCACAGAGCUGAGCUGGGCCGCAGCUGUGUGCUAACUGGGCCGCCUGCGGCCCGCGGGCUGUGGGUUGAGAACCGCUCCUCUAAUCCAUCAUGAACCAUCCCCAUAUCCUGACAAAGCCAACAGCUGCUUCUGAAGUCGGACAGGUUGAUUCAGUCAGGAAAGAGCACUACAAACUGAGCCUUAGCAUGUCUCCUGAAAAAUGGUUCCAGCUUUUGUUUGUCAUAAGUGACAUUGCAUAGACAACUGAUUCAACAAGCCAAACGGGCUAUGUUUGACUAUUCUCCUUUGAUAUUAUAUCAGUUUAUACAAAUCAUAUUUAGUUUUACCAUUUUACAAAAUGCUUUUUUCUGUUUUAUUCUGACUGCACAAAGAUUCUCUACAUACUUUUCAAAGGAAAACAAACUAGUAAAUAAUACAUGAAUGUAACAUAAGGGUCCAUGAGCGAAAUGUAGAGACUAUUGUAGUCUAGAUU